AGAGUUUGAUCCUGGCUCAGAAUGAACGCUGGCGGCAGGCCUAACACAUGCAAGUCGAACGGGCACCUUCGGGUGCUAGUGGCGGACGGGUGAGUAACGCGUGGGAACAUACCCUUUGGUACGGAAUAGCCUCGGGAAACUGGGAGUAAUACCGUAUGUGCCCUUCGGGGGAAAGAUUUAUCGCCAAAGGAUUGGCCCGCGUUGGAUUAGGUAGUUGGUGGGGUAAUGGCCUACCAAGCCGACGAUCCAUAGCUGGUUUGAGAGGAUGAUCAGCCACACUGGGACUGAGACACGGCCCAGACUCCUACGGGAGGCAGCAGUGGGGAAUCUUAGACAAUGGGGGAAACCCUGAUCUAGCCAUGCCGCGUGAUCGAUGAAGGCCUUAGGGUUGUAAAGAUCUUUCAGUUGGGAAGAUAAUGACGGUACCAACAGAAGAGCC
rnacentral:rRNA from 1 species